UACGUAGGGUGCAAGCGUUAAUCGGAAUUACUGGGCGUAAAGCGUGCGCAGGCGGCUUUGCAAGACAGAUGUGAAAUCCCCGGGCUUAACCUGGGAACUGCAUUUGUGACUGCAUGGCUGGAGUGCGGCAGAGGGGGAUGGAAUUCCGCGUGUAGCAGUGAAAUGCGUAGAUAUGCGGAGGAACACCGAUGGCGAAGGCAAUCCCCUGGGCCUGCACUGACGCUCAUGCACGAAAGCGUGGGGAGCAAAAAGG
rnacentral:rRNA from 1 species